rnacentral:rRNA from 1 species
UCUGGGACAAGCCCUGGAAACGGGGUCUAAUACCGGAUAACACUCUGUCCCGCAUGGGACGGGGUUAAAAGCUCCGGCGGUGAAGGAUGAGCCCGCGGCCUAUCAGCUUGUUGGUGGGGUGAUGGCCUACCAAGGCGACGACGGGUAGCCGGCCUGAGAGGGCGACCGGCCACACUGGGACUGAGACACGGCCCAGACUCCUACGGGAGGCAGCAGUGGGGAAUAUUGCACAAUGGGCGAAAGCCUGAUGCAGCGACGCCGCGUGAGGGAUGACGGCCUUCGGGUUGUAAACCUCUUUCAGCAGGGAAGAAGCGAGAGUGACGGUACCUGCAGAAGAAGCGCCGGCUAACUACGUGCCAGCAGCCGCGGUAAUACGUAGGGCGCAAGCGUUGUCCGGAAUUAUUGGGCGUAAAGAGCUCGUAGGCGGCUUGUUGCGUCGGUUGUGAAAGCCCGGGGCUUAACCCCGGGUCUGCAGUCGAUACGGGCAGGCUAGAGUGUGGUAGGGGAGAUCGGAAUUCCUGGUGUAGCGGUGAAAUGCGCAGAUAUCAGGAGGAACACCGGUGGCGAAGGCGGAUCUCUGGGCCAUUACUGACGCUGAGGAGCGAAAGCGUGGGGAGCGAACAGGAUUAGAUACCCUGGUAGUCCACGCCGUAAACGUUGGGAACUAGGUGUUGGCGACAUUCCACGUCGUCGGUGCCGCAGCUAACGCAUUAAGUUCCCCGCCUGG